rnacentral:misc_RNA from 1 species
AACCAUAGAAACCUGCGGAGUACCUGCGGAGGGAUCAUUAACGAGUUAGGGUCGUUCUGGCCCGAACUUCCAACCCCUUGUUUAUCACACCAUGUUGCUUUGGUAGGCCCGCUCUCUUAGGGGGGCCGCCGGAGGUUAUCCUACCUCUAGCCCGUGCCUGCCAGUAGCCUUAUUAAAUUCUUUUUAACUGUGUCGUCUGAGUGGUAUUUUCAAAUCAUUUAAAACUUUCAGCAAUGGAUC